GCAGCAAGCAUUCGGUAGUCCAACAAAGCCCUACAGACAUCAAUCUCUGGUCCGAGAGAAAUGGAAGCAAGCAGCAAGGCGGCCCUGCUCCUCUUGAUGGUCAUCGUGGGAUGUUUGACGAUUCCUGCACACUCUCGGAACGUCGUUCGUUUCUGCAAAUGCCAGAAGCAGACCUGCAAAAAGGGAGCAAUAUUCGAAGCUGUUUGCUACUGCUGUCCAGGCGGUAGUUGUUACUCGACGAUCCAGGAUUGCGCACCAGCUUGCCGCUGCGAUAAGCUUUCGCAUGCCCCACUAAAUUUAACAGACAGACCGUGAAGCGUGAAUCCAGUGAUUUAUCAUAGCGAAAGAAAUAAAAAAGCGGUGGUGUUUCUUGAUA